rnacentral:lncRNA from 1 species
AUGAGAGGCAUCUCACUUCACAACUGCUGCAACAUCGUACAAAAGUUGAGUGAGGACUGGAAAACAGUGAAUGUUUGCUCCAAAUGCAAAGUACAGUCUGGACAGUAUGUGACCCUAAUGACCUGUCUUGUGUCACUAAGAGCUACAAAAGUCCAUAGGAGGAAAUCUGUUGGCAUGGACUGUGAAGCAGGAAGAAGAGGGAAUAGCACUGGAAGGAUACUCAAGCCCCUGACUUGA